CAUGCAAGUCGAACGAUGAUCCCAGCUUGCUGGGGGAUUAGUGGCGAACGGGUGAGUAACACGUGAGUAACCUGCCCUUAACUCUGGGAUAAGCCUGGGAAACUGGGUCUAAUACCGGAUAUGACUCCUCAUCGCAUGGUGGGGGGUGGAAAGCUUUAUUGUGGUUUUGGAUGGACUCGCGGCCUAUCAGCUUGUUGGUGAGGUAAUGGCUCACCAAGGCGACGACGGGUAGCCGGCCUGAGAGGGUGACCGGCCACACUGGGACUGAGACACGGCCCAGACUCCUACGGGAGGCAGCAGUGGGGAAUAUUGCACAAUGGGCGAAAGCCUGAUGCAGCGACGCCGCGUGAGGGAUGACGGCCUUCGGGUUGUAAACCUCUUUCAGUAGGGAAGAAGCGAAAGUGACGGUACCUGCAGAAGAAGCGCCGGCUAACUACGUGCCAGCAGCCGCGGUAAUACGUAGGGCGCAAGCGUUAUCCGGAAUUAUUGGGCGUAAAGAGCUCGUAGGCGGUUUGUCGCGUCUGCCGUGAAAGUCCGGGGCUCAACUCCGGAUCUGCGGUGGGUACGGGCAGACUAGAGUGAUGUAGGGGAGACUGGAAUUCCUGGUGUAGCGGUGAAAUGCGCAGAUAUCAGGAGGAACACCGAUGGCGAAGGCAGGUCUCUGGGCAUUAACUGACGCUGAGGAGCGAAAAGCAU
rnacentral:rRNA from 1 species